rnacentral:lncRNA from 1 species
ACGGCUGGGACCGGGCGGGCGAAAGCGACUCCUCCCCGGACGCCCCGCCUCUCACUCCCGUUACACCCGGGGGAAGGUGUUCCAGAGGCGGCUCCCAUCCUCACCCCGCCUCCCUUUUCUCCGGCGCUAACCUCUGCCGGCGGAGCCCACUAUGCCAGACACUUUCGACACUUUGCAAAGACAAAGAGCCCUAAACCGGAGGGAGGAGAGAGGAGGAGGCAGAGAAGGAGCGUGAGGUUUGAGCUGGCUGGGUUUGACUCUGCUGAGCUAGCAAUGCCAUCAAAGAGCAACUGGCACCUGUUGGAUCUGUGAGCCAGAGCUGUGGGGCCGGGCAGUUGUAUCUGUGAGCCAGGGGCAGACAGUGGCUCGGCUUCCUGAGAUGAAGAAACUGAAACUCAGAGAGAUUAAGGACCUCCCCUGAUGUGGCACUUCUGGUAAGCACUCCGUUCUCCUUGACUCUAGAGCCUCUGCUCUGAUUGUUUGGGAUGGUGUCAGGCUGAAUGUAUCCUCCACCAAAGGCCGGGCUGUGGCUUUUAUGAUGUGACCUCAUGCAGAACUAUAGGUUUACCGGAAAGAGUUUGGGGGACUUUAACUGGGACGGGGGCUGGUAUGUGGUUAGGACACUCCAGAGCUCCAGUGUUUUGGUUUGAGAAAUGACUCCUGGGUGACAUACAGAAAUCUACCUCCCCAAAAUGCCCUCUGAGGACCCAGCUCUCUAGGAAGCAGGACUCUGAGUCCACAGAGGCACCAGGUGCCUGAUUUCAUUGCAUCCUACCUCAGUCCACAGAGGUGCCCACAGGCAUCUCACCCCCAGGUGGUUGGUUUGGACAGUUACAUUGCUUGGUUGUUUUAUUUGUUUGGUUUUUGCAAAUUGGUUUCUGCAAAGCCAAAGGAAGGCCCUCCCCGGAAAUAAUGAUUUGCUCACCCAGGGCCAACCAGAAAAGCCAAAUUCCAGACUUAAGAUCUCAAGCCUGCUUGCCCCAGGUGGACGCUGCUUCGUGACUAGCUCCUCUUCGCGCUGAGGUCUCAGCACCUGGGAAGUCUGAGAUCUCUCAGCCCUUAUGAGAGGCAGGCAGGAAGAAUAUGAUUCCCAGGCCUGCGUGUUCUUCUGUGUCCCAAGUCACUGUUCUCAACUAGGGCCCAGGGCAAGGCAGCUCCAAUCCCACAGACAGAUCCGCAGGGAACAGGUCAGCAAGGGACUGCAGUGUCUGUUGUCUCGUGGUUAAGACAGGAAGGGAAAUGCUACAGAGCCAGGGAGUGAAGCAAGGUGGCUUUAAGGUAGGCAGGAGGACUAUUGGGCAGAGUCACAAAUUCAGUGAGCAGUUAUGGUGGGGGCUCGGUCAGUAAAGUCCUGCCUCGUGAGGAUGAAGACCUGAGUCUGAUUCCUCUACUUAACAUUUUCAAAAGCUGUGUACACUGACACAUGCUUGUUCUCUCAGCACCAGGGACACCACGACAAGAUCCCGGGAUUUCGCUGGCCAACCAGCAUAGCCUAAUUGGCGAUCCCAGGUCUCUGUCUCAAAACACAAGGUGGAUGGGUCCUGACC